UACAGAGGGUGCAAGCGUUAAUCGGAAUUACUGGGCGUAAAGCGAGCGUAGUCGGUUAUUUAAGUCGGAUGUGAAAUCCCCGGGCUCAACCUGGGAAUUGCAUUCGAUACUGGAUAGCUAGAGUUCGGCAAAGGGAAGCGGAAUUUCUGGUGUAGCGGUGAAAUGCGUAGAUAUGCGGAGGAACACCGAUGGCGAAGGCAAUCCCCUGGGCCUGCACUGACGCUCAUGCACGAAAGCGUGGGGAGCAAACAGG
rnacentral:rRNA from 1 species